CCUACGGGUGGCAGCAGUGAGGAAUAUUGGUCAAUGGGCGCGAGCCUGAACCAGCCAAGUAGCGUGAAGGAUGACUGCCCUACGGGUUGUAAACUUCUUUUAUAAAGGAAUAAAGUGAUGCACGUGUGCCUUUUUGUAUGUACUUUAUUAUUAAGGAUCGGCUAACUCCGUGCCAGCAGCCGCGGUAAUACGGAUGAUCCGAGCGUUAUCCGGAUUUAUUGGGUUUAAAGGGAACGUAGAUGGGUUGUUAAGUCAGUGGUGAAAGUUUGUGGCUCAAACGUAAAAUUGCAAUUGAUACUGGCAGCCUUGAGUACAGUUGAGGUAGGCGGAAUUCGUGGUGUAGCGGUGAAAUGCUUAGAUAUCACGAAGAACACCGAUUGCGAAGGCAGCUUACUAAACUGCAACUGACAUUGAGGCUCGAAAGUGUGGGUAUCAAACAGGAUUAGAUACCCUAGUAGUC
rnacentral:rRNA from 1 species